UAGAUGCGAGAGUAGAGCAUAUCAAUAAGCGGAGGAAAAGAAACUAACAAGGAUUCCCUUAGUAACGGCGAGUGAAGCGGGAAGAGCUCAAAUUUGAAAUCUUCAAGGUUCUACCUUGACGAAUUGUAGUUUAUAGGAGUGUUUUCUGUUAGUGGAGUGGCAAAAGUUCUUUGGAAUAGGACAUCAUAGAGGGUGAGAAUCCCGUAUUUGGUCAUUCCUCCUAGCGUUGUGAUACACUUUCAACGAGUCGGAUUGUUUGGGAAUGCAGUCCAAAAUGGGUGGUAAAUUUCAUCUAAAGCUAAAUAUUGGCGAGAGACCGAUAGCGAACAAGUACCGUGAGGGAAAGAUGAAAAGAACUUUGAAAAGAGAGUUAAACAGUACGUGAAAUUGUCAAAAGGGAAGCGUUUGACACCAGUGUUGUUUUUCCGAAAAUCAAUUACGAAUGUUUUAUUUUGAGAAGUUAUGACUUCAUCGGCUUGCUCCUUUCUUUAUGAAACUUUCUUAAUGCACUUUUCGGUUAACAAGUCAACAUCAAUUUCUUUUGUUGUAAAAGGGUACGAGGAAGGUGGCUUUCUUUUCGGAGAAAGUGUUUAUAGCCUUGUACCUCUGCAAUCGGAGAGAUUGAGGUCUGCAGCGUAGAUCCUUCGGGUUAGAUACAUUUGUGCUAAGUUAUAGCUUUUCAUAGACAACUUGUUGACUAUGUUAGUCUUGUAGCUUACUCGCUGACUGCUAUUUUACCUACGCUUAGGAUGUUGACACACGCGCGUGCUCG
rnacentral:rRNA from 1 species